rnacentral:rRNA from 2 species
AAAUUGAAGAGUUUGAUCAUGGCUCAGAUUGAACGCUGGCGGCAGGCCUAACACAUGCAAGUCGAACGGUAACAGGAAGCAGCUUGCUGCUUCGCUGACGAGUGGCGGACGGGUGAGUAAUGUCUGGGAAACUGCCUGAUGGAGGGGGAUAACUACUGGAAACGGUAGCUAAUACCGCAUAAUGUCGCAAGACCAAAGAGGGGGACCUUCGGGCCUCUUGCCAUCGGAUGUGCCCAGAUGGGAUUAGCUUGUUGGUGGGGUAACGGCUCACCAAGGCGACGAUCCCUAGCUGG